CUUUAUUUUCUUUGCUCUCCUCUCUCUCUACCUCUCCCCUCUCUCCUUACCGUCUCCGCCCUACUAUCGCCCAUCUCCACUGGCCGAAAAUCGUCACCACCGGCUGGCCACCUCCAAUCACUCCCAAAAUUUCAGCAUAUAAUCUCCACAACCUAUUCUUUUCAUAUGUCCAAACCAAAUCCUUAAAAAAAAUCCUUCAAAUUUCAUGAAUAGUAAAUCUAAGAAGCCCAACUUGUCACUUUUUUCUUCAUCUUAAAUUCGUGAGAUUUGAGCCAUAUUUACCCCCAACACCUAUAUACACGGACAAAGCUCGAGGAGGACUAUUGUUUAACGUUGGUCUCAAGCCGAAAAUACGAUAAACAUUUUCCGACGAAACUUCCGUCCACCACCGAACUUCCACACCCUCCUUCAAUUUUCCUCCCCGACUCUUGAGCGUUCUUUCCUUUGUGAUACGAUGAUGGUGCCAAGGCUUUGGUUUCAAGGAUGGCUGAACCAUCAUCUAUCAUUAAGAAAAGUGUGCUCGAAGGUCGGAACCGUUGCCUCGAGUAGUGGUUUACAGACAGUCAUUUCACCUGAAACUUUGGGGGGAAAAAUAGCUUAAAGAUUCUACUUUUACUGUUAGCAAGUUAAACUGAUUUUACUUUUCUUUGUAAAUAUUUGAUAUGUAGUCUGGUUCUUUUAUUUAUAAUGAUCAAGUGCUUAUUUAUAUUUUGAAGUUGAGCUUGUUCCUGGGGUGAAAUAGUAUAGUUUUCCAUGGCUCAAGUUGUUACUUAAUUUCCCGAACUUCAAGUUUUUUUAAUGAUUAAAUAAAUAUUCAUGCUCAUAUUAAAUGACUAAAGUUUCUAGUGUCAAGGCAACUUGUCUUUUAAAAAAUACAACAAUAAUUGUUGUCAUCAAAAUUUUAGUUAAACAAACAAAACAAAAAAUCUAAGGUCAUGUGUGUUAAACUUAUUAAGAAUGUAAUCUCUGCAAGUUGGCGUUCAAGUUCUAGAAAUUCAUGGUGCAUAUGUUAGUCUGUUGUCCAAACUAAAAUCAAUGUUAGCUACUCUUUUAUUAAGAAUGUGGCGUUUCUUUCCAUGUGAAGUGUUUAAAUCUUUUGAUUUUGGACUUCUUUAGUUUUUUUCUCUUUUCUUUAUUUGGAGGAACCAUUGUUGGAUCAAAGUCUAUUAUUUAAAUCCCUUUGACCGUUGACCAAGCAUAUGUGACAAAAUAAUAGUUAAAAUGGAUAAAGUGAGUGUAAUUGGAUAAUGAGCGUGAAUAUGAAUAUUUUGAACUAGAAAUAAUUAAAAUAGGAAAAAAAAAUUAUUAGAAUAAGAAUGAAUAAUAAUUGUAGCAAAAAUCUGAGGCUAUGAUGAUAAUUUUUUCUUCUGUCUCUGAGCAAAUUGAUUAGGGCAAGGGAACAAUCGGAGCCGUAACUUGGCGGGGCGACCCGGACGGUGACGACAUGCAACCGGUGUUUGCAGCCAUGGCGGUGUCUCCAAUCUCUUGCCUUGUCUUCAAUCUUAUAGAUCUGAGCCUCAAUUGGAAGGUUAUUUUCUUAAGUGCAAACCUACAGGCUCUUUUCCGUUAAAUUUUGAAAUUCGGAGGUGAAAACCAACAACCCUUGUUCCGCCAUUGAUUUUCCUCCAUUUUCAAUCUCUGUUCCGCCAUUGAUUUUCCUCCAUUGUCAAUCUCUAUUCCGUCGUUGAUUUUCCUCCAUUUUCAAUCUCUGUUCGGCCAUUGAUUUUCCUCUAUUUUCAAUCUCUGUUCCGCCAUUGAUUUUCCUCCAUUGUCAAUCUCUAUUCCGUCGUUGAUUUUCCUCCAUUUUCAAUCUCUGUUCGGCCAUUGAUUUUCCUCUAUUUUCAAUCUCUGUUCCGCCAUUGAUUCUCCUCUAUUUUCCCAAAAAAAAAAAAA